rnacentral:misc_RNA from 1 species
GAUGAAGAACGCAGCGAAAUGCGAUAAGUAAUGUGAAUUGCAGAAUUCAGUGAAUCAUCGAAUCUUUGAACGCACAUUGCGCCCGCCAGUAUUCUGGCGGGCAUGCCUGUUCGAGCGUCAUUUCAACCCUCAAGCCCUGCUUGGUGUUGGGGAUCGGCGUUGCCUCCUCCGUCGUUCGCGGCGGGGUGAGGUCGCCGCCCCCGAAAUGAAUUGGCGGUCUCGUCGCAGCUUUCCUUUGCGUAGUAACAUACCACCUCGCAACCAGGAGCGCGGCGCGGCCACUGCCGUAAAACGCCCAACUUUUUCAAGAGUUGACCUCGAAUCAGGUAGGAAUACCCGCUGAACUUAAGCAUAUCAAUAAGCGGAGG